CGAACGCUGGCGGCGUGCUUAACACAUGCAAGUCGAACGAUGAAGCCGCUUCGGUGGUGGAUUAGUGGCGAACGGGUGAGUAACACGUGGGCAACCUGCCCUCAGCUUUGGGAUAACUCCGGGAAACCGGGCUAAUACCGGAUACGACCAUUCCCCGCGAUGGGGUGGUGGUGGAAAGUUUUUCGGCUGGGGAUGGGCCCGCGGCCUAUCAGCUUGUUGGUGGGGUGAUGGCCUACCAAGGCGUCGACGGGUAGCCGGCCUGAGAGGGCGACCGGCCACACUGGGACUGAGACACGGCCCAGACUCCUACGGGAGGCAGCAGUGGGGAAUAUUGCGCAAUGGGCGAAAGCCUGACGCAGCGACGCCGCGUGAGGGAUGACGGCCUUCGGGUUGUAAACCUCUUUCAGCUCCGACGAAUUCAGACGGUAGGAGCAGAAGAAGCACCGGCCAACUACGUG
rnacentral:rRNA from 1 species